rnacentral:lncRNA from 10 species
CCUCAAAAAAUUAGGAAAGAAUUGCUGGGUAAUCCAGCAAUCCCACUGUGGGUAUAUAUCCAAGGGAAAUAAAAUCACUAUAUUUAAGAAAUAUCUGCAAGCCCAUUCACCACAGAUCUGCCCACCUCGGCCUCCCAAAGUGCUGGGAUUACAGGCAUGAGCCACCACACCUGGCCCAUUCAAUAGAUUUUUAUGAAGCUACUAAGUCAGACAUCAUAGUAUUAGUUUGUAGUUUCAGGACUCUAUACCUUCCAAUUGUUUCAACCAAUUCAAUCAAAAUUCAAUUUUCAGUUUUUAAUAACUUUUUUAGACAGUAUUUCCAUAAAGUUUAGGUUACCAGAUGCACAUUAAAAUUUGUUUUUAUCAAUUAGCACCUCAUACUGUGAAUGUGAUCUGAGUGUGAAUAGACUGUGUUUUAAUAUAUCUUUCUAACUCAGAUUUCUUUAAAUAUCAUUUCACAAAUUGAAGUUGCCAUCCACCUUAAUUCCAUUCUCAGACCCCAAAUAUAUCUUCCCUUUGUAUUUGAUUCUCAUUUAGAAUAAAUAAGCCAAAUGUAAAUGUAAAGACCAGCAAAAAUAUUAAUUACUAAUAACUGGGAUGAAUCAGAAACAUAUGUGGAAUUUGUGUAAUACAAAUGAUAAUAAGGCUAUAUAGCAAAUUAAAUAAGUAAAGAAAAUGUAAAUUUUUAUGUUAGCAAAGAUUGCAAAAAUGGGAAUUAUAAGCCAGGAACUGUGGAUGAAAGCUUAUAUCUAUCUGUAUCUAUAUAUCUAUCUGUAUAUAUAUAUCAUAAUACAUUUCUCAAAACCUGUGAUAUGUAGCCAAAGGAAUACUUAGGAAAUUUUGUCAUCUUAAAUGCAUUUAUUAAAAACUUAGGGCUGUGUGCGGUGGUUCACGCCUGUAAUCGCAGCACUUUGGGAGGCUGAGGUGGGUGGAUCACGAGAUCAGGAGUCCAAGACCAGCCUGGCCGUCUCUACUAAAAUACAAAAAUUAGCCGGGCGUGUUUGUAUAAUUAUUAUACUUUCCAGUUUUUGCAUUAUGUAUUCACAUGAGUUCAGCUUUCUUUUGGAAAAAGAAUAGUUGUCAACACAUUGUAUUAUCUAUCAAUUUUUCUUUACCUUGUCAACCAGUAAAAUAUAUUUUAUAACUGCAUGGCUCUAUUUAUUCACCUUUAUCAUAACUGUAAUUAAUGAUAUCCUCUCAGGAGUGCAAUGACUGACUACUUCCACAGCACAAAGUUCCUUUUACGAACUUUUUCUCCCAGCUAUAAAGUGAAAAAUUUGUCUCAUUCACCUGAGUAUAAUCCUUGUUUAUGAGGUGCAAAGUACAUGAAUGUGGCAUAGCCCUUACACUGUGGUAUA